GAUGAAGAACGUAGCGAAAUGCGAUGAGUAAUGUGAAUUGCAGAAUUCAGUGAAUCAUCGAAUCUUUGAACGCAUCUUGCGCUCCUUGGUAUUCUGAGGAGCAUGCCUGUUUGAGUGUCAUUAAAUUCUCAACUACACUGACUUUGAAUUGGUGUGGCUUGGAGUUGGGGGGAAAAUUGUUGUGGGCUUUUUGUAUAGUCUGCUCCCCUGAAAUUGAUUAGCGGUACCUUUGUGGAACUGUCUACAGGUGUGAUAAUUAUCUACAUCUUAGACAUCUGCUGGAAUGCUGCUUUCUAAACCUUACUUGUAUUGACAAUCUUGACCUCAAAUCAGGUAGGACUACCCGCUGAACUUAAGCAUAUCAAUAAGCGGAGGA
rnacentral:misc_RNA from 1 species